ACAGUUGAUGUUAUGGGCUGAGACCCUUCUUCAGGACUGGUGAAGGGUCUUGGCCCAAAAUGUCGACUAUUUACACUUUUCUAUAGACGUUGCCUGACCUGCUGAGUUCCUCCAGCAUUUUAUGUGCAUUACCAUAACGUAUAGACUCACUUUGAAGUAUUCUACAACUCAUUUGUACAGUGUUUCUUCUUUUGCAUACUUGUUUGUAAAUCUUAGUGUGUAGUUUUUCAUUAUUUUUGUCAUACUGUGAAUGCCUGUAAGAAAAUCAAUCUCAGGGUUGUAUUUGGUAACAUGUAUGUACUUUGAUAAUAAAUUUACAUUGAACUUUGAUCUUUUGAAACAUUGUAAGUAUCUAUGGGAGACUCUGCCUCAAUAUUUGCCAUCAACAACCUUUUUGCAGCAACCAUCAGGCAGGAGGUACAGAAGCCUGAAGUCUCACACCACCAGGUUCAAGAACAAUUACUUCCCUUCAACCAACACACACAAAAUGCCGGAGACACUCAGCGGUUCAGGCAGCAUCUAUAGAAAAGAGUACAGUUGACUUUUCGGGCCGGGACCCUUCAGAAGGACUGGAGAAAAGAAGAUUUCCUUCAAACGUUUGGUUCUUGAAUCAAAUGGCAAAACCCUAAUCACUACUGUUUAGCAACAUGAGAAACAAUUUGAUCAUCUGCACUAAAAUAGAUAUCUUCUUCUUGUAAAAAUAAGAUCAUAAGCAUAGGAGCAGAAUUACACCAUUCAGUCCAUUGAGUCUGUUCCAUCACUGAAUCACGGUGUAUUUAUUUUCCUCUCAAUCCCAUUCUCCUGCUUUUUCCUGUAACCCUUUGGUUAUCUUACUAAUUAAGAACCUAUCAAAUUCCAUUUUAAAUAAACUCCAUGACUUGGCUUCUAACAUUGUCUGUGGCAAUGAGUUUGACAGAUUCACCAACCUGUAGCUGAAGAAAUUCCUCUGAUCUCUCUUCUGAAGGGACGUCCUGAGGCUGAGCCCUCCGGUCUUAGAUUCUCCCACUAUUGAAAACAUCCACUCCUUGUCCACUCUAUCUUUGCCUUUUAAUAUCCUGUAGGUUUCAAUAACCAACCCCACUCCCAUUCUUCUAAACAAAGCAGCAACAGCAAAACAAGGCCCAUUCCUCCCUACUCACCUACUCACACAAACAAACAGAUAGCCCUCCAACCCCAGAACAAGCCAGCUUUGGCCUUCAUACCCCAGUAGACUCAUGGAUAUUGGGCCUUUGACUUCCCUAGUGAACUCACGGACUUGCAGACCCAGGACUUGUGCCAUGGGACUUCUUUCCUCCAAGAGCACCACUGGCCCUCAGUGAACCCUGCCUAGUUGCACACUCAGCUUGGACUUAAUGUGGAGAGUUUUCAUUCCUCGAUCUGCCCUGUGCACUCCACAUCGAAGUGUACCCGUUUGUGGAUUGAAGGCUACUGUCGAUAACAAAGCAGUUCCCUACAUUCAGUGGCCAGUCACUGGCUCACAAAGUGACCACCUCCAUCAAGGCAUGAACCAAUGACCUAAUCUAGCACAGAUGCUGGCCCUUCAGCCCAAUUAUUCCAUGCUGAAACGAUUUAAACUGCCUCCUCCCUGCGACCUGUACCAGGGCCAUAUCCCUACCAUCUAUGUACAGUACCUAUCCUAACUUCCCUUAAACAUUGAAAACAAGCUUGCAUCCAGCUGGCAGCUCAUUCCACACUCUCAUGACCCUCUGAGUGUAGAAGUUUCCCCUCAUGUUUCCCUUAAACUUUUCACCUUUCACCCUUAACCCAUGACCUCUGGUUGUAGUCCCACCCAACCACAGUGGAAAAAGCCUCCUUGCAUUUACCCUCUCUAGACCCUCAUAAUAUUUUGCAUGGAGAAAUAUUCCAUUGUUUUAUAUUCUGGUUGUGUCUGGCAUAUGUAUGAAGAUAAUAAAAAAUAGGAUUCAUUAACACACCUUAAAGAGCUGGAUGACUCUCACUUGUAGGUCACAGUGGAAAUAAAAGAAAACACAUGUGAACCUAAUUAUUUUCCUAGUGCAUGCUCUGAAUUUAAGCUUUAGUAUAGGGCUGUCCUUUCCCUUCAAGCAUAGUGAUUUUGAAAAGCAGUCUGGAAAAAAAUAAUCAUUCCUUGGAUUUUCACUCUGUCAACUCCCUUAAAAGGUACAGAAUUGAUAUCUGAUCCAUUUUCAAAGGUGUUUUCGAUUUGUCGACCUUGGCUGCUCUCUCUCCCUUUUAUCUCUGUCCAAAGUUAAUUGAGAUGAAAAAUUCUCAGCGUUCCGCUCUGAAUUUGUGUUCAAGCUUCUGCACGAUAUUUGCCGAAGGCUGAAAUUGCAACGUAAUUGCUAAUUGCAUUUCAAUUAUUCAGCGACAACUAUUUAAUUUAGCGCUGCUGUUGACUGGGGAAAGGAAGAAUAAACAGCGCACAGGACACAUGUUGUGAAUAUUAAAAAGAAAAUGAUUUAAGGGUUGGAGUAGCAAUGAGGAGUAAAUAAAGUCAUGGAAUUCAUUUCUGUGGAGCCUUUUAUAUCUUGUGCACAUCUCAACAUGCAUUACAGGCAAUCAAUUAGCUGUUGGGCCAAACUGAGCUGGCUGAGGCAGGAGGUUUUGGAGGGGAACAUUCUGACUGGCCAAUGGUCAGCUAAUCACAUAUGUAAUACCAAGGCCUUCCUGGCAUUUGGUGAUGGUGGUCCGAUUGUGUUAGGGCUUCUAGCAUUAUUCUAGGGCAUCUGUCUCACAUCCUACACGAGUGUAGGAGUGGUGUCCUUUACUUAACCUGAAAACAAAUUGACCUAUGGUUUUAGUGGGAGAAGGAAAGCAAGUUCAGAUAUUUAUUUUUGUUAAUUAUUCUAUUCGCCAAAAAUAUGUGCUUGCCUUGAUUAAAUUCCAUCUGCCACUGCUCUGUGCAACUUUCCAGCUGAUCCAUUUCCCUCUCUAUCCUUGGACAACCUUCUCUGCUGUCUACAACUCCACCAAAUUUUGUGCUGCCAACAACCUUAUUAAUCUGACCAUUUACAUUCUCAUCCCAUUAACAGAUAUCCAAGCACUGAUUCCUACAUCAUACUGCUGAUUACAGACUUCCAACCAGAGAACAAUCAUCCACCUCUAUGUCUUACCACCAAACUAGCCUUGGGUUUCUAUCUAUUAACCUGGGCCCUUAGCAUUGUCAAAGAUCUCGCCCAUCCGUCCUACAAUCUCUUUGACCUCCUACCAUCAGACAGGAAGAACCAUGGCUUUAGAACAAGGACUGUUUGGAUGGGAAACAGCUUGUUUCCCCAGGCUGUGAGUGCCGUGAACUCCCUGUCACCACCCAGGCAUGCAACUCUCAUCACAUAUGAAGCAUUGGUAGCAUUAUACUAUUUACUUUUUAACUUGUGUCGUAAAUGAACCUUUGGAUAAAUGCCAAUCUUCUGGAACAUAUUUGUUAUUAUUUGUUAACUUAUUUGUGGUAAUAUUACCUUGAAUUGUGUGUGAGUUAUAUGUGCUGUGUUGUACAUCUUGAACUGGAGGUGCAUUGUUUUGUUUGGCAGUAUACAUUUAUAUAGUUGAAUGACAAAAAAAUUGAGCUUGAACUUGAAUUUGAACAUCUACAGUUAUUAAACACUUCACACCACUUUUUAUAAAGCUCUUGACAUUGUAAAUACAUGCUGGUUCUGGUGUAAUUAUGUGCACUUUAUUCCAUAUCUUUUCUUUACGAUCUGACUUAUUUUUAUAUGUAAGUCUUUAUAAUUGUUGUAUUUUUUGUUGCAUGUUAUAUCCUAACCAACACAACAUAGCAAACUCCUAAUAUAUGUAAAUGUGCUCCAUAUGGUGAUUGAAGUUGAUCCCUGGCAUGCUUUAACCCUGUGGACUAAUCUACCAAGUGGGAACUUGUCAAAAGUCUUGGUGACAUCUGUAUACCAUGUCUACACACAAAGUGCUGGAGGAGCUCAGCAGAUCAGGCAGCAUCUAUGGAAAAGAAUAAAGAGUUAAUGUUUUGGGCCAAGACCCAUCAUCAGAACUGGAGGUGUGUUACUCUGGAUUUCCAGUAUCUGCAGAAUCUCUUGUUGUUUAUACCGUGUCUACUGUUUUGUCUUCAUGAGUUUUCUUAGUUAAUCCUCAAAGCUCAGAUAUAUGAAAUGGGAUAACCCCUGCACAAAGCCAUGUAGACGCCUCCUAAAAGUCUCAGCCUUUCCACUUCCAUUAUUCACUGGUCAAAGCAACAAGGAAGAUGAAACAUUGAGGCGAAUGUGGAAGAAUGAUAUCAGAGUUGUACAUUGCAUACAUACUUUGAUAAUAAAUGAACCUUUGAAACUUUGUGAGAUGUGGCCUGACCUGCCAAGUUCCUCUGACACUUUGUGCAUUGCUUCAGAAUCCAGCAUCUGCGUAGAGUCUGCAUUAUCUCUUUGCCAUUUAAGGUUAGGGUGGUGGGAAGGAGAUAUGUCUUUACCGAAGGAGGUGUAAGGCACUCCUUCCCUCCUCUAGCCUGCAUGGUGUAACACCAGCAGGGUCAUGUGGAGCCAUAGGUGCAGGUGGUGGAUGGUCAUAUGAACAGCUGGUGCUUAUCGCAAGUCCUGGUUAUGUGACCACUGACACCAGACAGACAAUCUUUGAAGAGCAUCGAUAAUGGAGUCACCCGCUUUGUAAAGACACUGCCCAGGAGGCAGCAACAGCAAAUCACUUCUGUAGAAAAACUUGCCAGGACCAAUCAUGGUCAAAGACCAUGAUCACCCUCAUCAUAUGUCAAGGCACAUAAUGAGGAUAAUGAUUUGAGGUGAUUGAACAUCAGGCUAACAACCCCGUUCCUUAAAAACACACAGCAAAGGAAACACUAACUGAACCUCCAAGGACUUGAUCCCUGGGAAAGGACGAAGAAGAUGGGCUAUGGAUGGGGACAAUUUGAAAGACUGGCCCAGGACAGAGGGCUCCAGUGAGCUGCUGUUGGUGGUCUAUGCCCCAGUAGGAGUAGUGAGCCUAAGGAAGUAAGUAGUUUAAGGUACAGUCUAUGUUAUUCCUGUGGAAAUGGAGUUAGAAUCAUACGAAGAGGAGAUAUUGGGUUUUCCAGCAUAUAAUAGCCAGGCAUGCAAGGGAAAGUUGGUCCGGAAUCAUUCCAACAACACGUAAUAUGUUUCUGAAGUUAGUUCUGGCAGAGGUAUAGUUAAUCAGGGAGUGAUGACAUAUAAAGUGAAAUCAUUGCAGCAGAGCAACAUUAGAUAUGUAUGGUACACUUGGUAUUAGUUUAUUAUAGUCUCAUGUACUAAAUUAGUCUUGCACACUGAACACAGUGUUGAGCUAGAAUAGGGUAAAUUUAUAACAAUGAAGAAUAAAGUAUAUAAAGCUACCAAAAAGUACAGUGCAGGAAAUAAUGAAGUGCAAGGUUGUAAUGAAAACCUUAUGUAAGGAAUGUUUAUGUAUAUUUAUUGUGCUGUCUUACUAUUGUGUUCUUUAUCUUAUUGUGCUACAUCAGAUUCAGAGUAACAAUUAUUUAGUUCUUUACAUUUGUGUACUGAAAAUGAUAUGAACUAAUCUUGAAUCUUUAAGGGUUACUAAACAUUAAAUGAACUCUAAACUGCAUUUCUUGCUGAUCUCGCCGAUUAAAGUGUCGAGCAAGAUUGAACUUAAUGAGGAUGAAAGCAGACGGGUGACUGCUCCUGACCGGUCUCUAUCUCACCUCUCACUUGCUGCUACCGGUGAAAGGAGGUUGUGUCUGACCAGUCUCUCUCUUGCUCUUGCUUGUAGCUCCCAGCGGGAGAUGCCUGUGUUUGACUGGUCCCUCAUUCUCUCUUGCUCAGUGUAAAUAGAGAUUGACGAGUCAAACAGGAAAUUCCUCACAAUCAGCCCUUACUGUUCCAGUAUAAUUGUCUAAUCUUUGGCGUCGCAUCAGCUCCAGCAAUUUGGCAAAGAGCAAUGGACUAAAUGCUCCAAGAUAUCCCAGGAACACAAUGUUACCUUGAUGACAUCAUCGUGACAGGCAGCUCUGGAACCUUGGAAAAGAGAGUGAGUAUGGCCUGAACACAAAGAGAGAGAAAUGUGAGAUUUUCAAAAAUGAAAUCUCAUAUUGUGGACAUGUCAUUGACAACCAUGGCUUACAUAAGUCACUAAAGAAGACUGAAGCAGUCCUACAGACACCCAAACUGAAAAAUGUGUCACAACUCCAGUCAUACUUGGACCUUGUAAACUACUACCACUGGCUUCUCCCAGUAGGAGCAAAGUGGGAAUGCUCAGAAAGAUGUGAAAGAACAUUCAAGGAAACAAAGAGACUCAUAACGUCCAAUGACCUGCUUACUCAUUAUGACCCAUCUCUGCCCAUCUGUACCCAUCAGACUGGCAUGCAAUGCAUCCUCUUAAGGCAUUGGUGCUGCUUUCUCACACACUAUGAAAGAUGGAUCCUAACGUCCAAUUGCGUUUGCUUCAAGAUCACUAACGAGCGCAGAACACAACUAUACACAGAUUGACCAAAGUGCCCUUCGUCCGGUUAGGGGAAUAAAGAAGUUCCAUCACUACUUCCACAGACAAAGUUUACUCCAGCGACAGACCCUUGUAUCCAAUUUCAAUCCUAGGAAGGGAAUUCCACUGAUAACUGUUAUCUGGUUAUAAUGUUGGGCACUGUUCCUGAGAGCCCACUCUUAUGACAUAGCAUUCAAAGGUACCAAACAACACAGUAACACUGAUGGCUCAUCACAUCUUCCACUGUUGGCAAAUGAAGAAGAGAAGUCUUCAUACUGUGACACAGCAGAGGUGUUCCACACCGCAUUGGUGGACCAGUUGCUGGUAACAAAUUUGGAUAUACAAAGAGAAACAAGGAAUGACCUGACAUUGCCAACAGUCUAUGACAAGGAUAGCCAGCUUACGGAACAUCCCUAGACUGUUUCAAUGACUCUGUGGUUUGAUGUUUUAUAUUCUGCCUGUUAUUCACUUGCUUCUUGCCAUUUACGCGAUUUGUUACUUCUUUUGUGCUUUGAGUGUUUGAUGGUUUUCAUGAACAGGUUCCAAGGUAUUCCUUUGUUUGGUGGCUUCUGUGGGAAGAUGAAUUUCAUGGUUGUAUACUCGAUACAUAAUUAGAUAAUAAAUGUACUUUGAACUUUUGAACUUAUUUAACAUUAUUUAAUCCCUAGAUGUAGAACUGAUCACUGAAGAUGAAGGGUCACAGAGCUGAAAAGAUAACUCUGUUUCUUUCCCAACAGACCUGUUGAAUACAAAGCUUAGCACAGGCCCUUUGGCCAAUGAUGUUGUGCUGACUUGUGUAAACCUUCUCCAUGAUCACUCUAACCCUUCCCUCCUACAAUGCCCAGAACCCUCCAUUUUGCUUACAACCAUCUAUCACAGAGUCUCUUAAAUGUCCCUGUUUAUCAGUCUCUAUCAUACCCAUACGACACAGGAGCUGAAUUAGGCCAUUUAGCCCAUCAUCUCUGCUCCACCAUUCCAUUGGGGCUAACUUAUUAUCCCUCUCAAUCCUAUUCUCCUGCCUUCUCCCCGAAGGUUAAUGGAAUGUUGGCCUUUAUUACAAAGGGAAUUGAGUACAAGAGCAAGGAAAUCCUCUUGCAUUUGUACAGAGCCCUGGUGAGACCACACCUGGAGUAUUGUGUACAGUUUUGGUCUCCAGGGUUAAGGAAGGACAUCCUGGCUGUAGAGGAAGUGCAGCGUAGAUUCACGAGGUUAAUUCCUGGGAUGUCUGGACUGUCUUACGCAGAGAGGCUAGAGAGACUGGGCUUGUACACGCUGGAAUUAAGGAGAUUGGGAGGGGAUCUCAUUGAAACAUAUAAGAUCAUUAAGGGAUUGGACAAGAUAGAGGCAGGAAAUAUGUUCCAGAUGCUGGGAGAGUCCAGUACCAGAGGGCAUGAUUUGAGAAUAAGGGGUAGGUAAUUUAGGACAGAGUUAAGGAAAAACUUCUUCUCCCAGAGAGUUGUGGGGGUCUGGAAUGCACUGCCUCGGAAGGUAGUGGAGGCCAAUUCUCUGGAUGCUUUCAAGAAGGAGCUAGAUAGGUAUCUUAUGGAUAGGGGAAUCAAGAGAUAUGGGGAUAUGGGUAUUGAUAGUAAUUGAUCAGCCAUGAUCUCAAAAUGGCGGUGCAGGCUCGAAGGGCUGAAUGGUCUACUUCUGUUCCUGUUGUCUAUUGUCUAUAGCCCUUACUAAUCAAGACACAUCACCCUCCGCUUUAAAUAUGCCCAAAGACAUCACCUCCUCAGCUGUCUGUGGCAAAUAACCCACAGAUUCCUUACCCUCUAGCAAAAGAAAUUCCUCCUCAUCUCUGCUCUGGAGGGACAUCCUUGUAUUCUGAGGCUGUGCUUUCCCCCACUAUUGGAAACAUCCUCUCCACAUCUACUCUAUCCAGGCUUUUCAAUAUGCAAAGAUAAAGGAGCUGGUUGUGGAUGACAGGAGGAACGGAGACAGGCUAGCUUGAAUUGACAUAGAUGGAUCUGGGCUUGAGAGGGUGAACAGCUUUAGUUCCUCGGCAUACACAUCACCGAGGAUCUCACGUGGUCUGUACAUACUGGCUGUGUGGUGAAAAAGGCACAACCGCACCUCUUUCACCUCAGAUGACUGAAGAAGUUUGGCAUGGGCCCCCAAAUCCUAAGGACUUUCUGUAGGGGCACCCUGAUUGGCUGCAUGGUAUGGCAACUGUAUUUCCCUCAACCGCAGGUCUCUGCAGAGAGUGGUACGGACAGCCCAGCACAUCUGUAGAUGUGAACUAACCAUGAUUCAGUACAUUUACAAAGACAGGUGUGUAAAAAGGGCCUGAAGGAUCACUGGGGACCUGAGUCACCCCAACCACAAAGUGUUCCAGCUGCUACUAUCCAGGAAACGGUACUGCAGCAUAAAAGCCAGGACCAACAGGCUCUUCUUUGACCAGGACAUCAGACUGAUUAACUUAUGCUGACACAACUGUAUUUUUAUGUUAUAUUGACUAUCCUGUUGUACAUACUAUUUAUUAUUAUAAUUAAUUAUUAUAAAUCUAAA